UUUGCCCGGCCCCAGGUAGCAUAAUCAAUUGUUUUUUAAUUAAAGGCUAGAAUGAAUGGUUUAAUGAGAUUUUAACUAUUUUUAUUUUAAAAAAAAAUGAAUUUUAAUUUUUAGUAAAAAUGCUAAAAUAAAAAAAUUAGACGAGAAGACCCUAUAAAUCUUUAUUUUGAAUUUUUUUUUUAAAAAAUAUGAAAAUAAUUUUUUUUAAAAAAAAAUAAAAAUUUUAUUGGGAAGAUAAUGAAAUUUAAAAAACUUUUAUUUUUUUUUAUAAUUAUAAUUAAUUUUUUUUAUAUAUUUAUAAUAAUAUUUAAAAAAUUAAGUUACUUUAGGGAUAACAGCGUAAUUAUUUUAAAGAGUUCUUAUCGAUAAAAUAGAUUACGACCUCGAUGUUGAAUUAAGAAUUAAUGAAAUGACGAAGGUAACAU
rnacentral:rRNA from 1 species